GUGAAAUGCUAUGACUUGAAAAUACCAUCUCAGUUUGACUGAGCACCUGGUUAAGCGUUUGAUGUAAAUAAUUUCGCAGUUGCUCGAGCUGGCGGAAGAAAAUGUAAAUAACCAGCCUGUAAUGGUCAAAUGACGCAUUGCGACGCGACUGCAGUUGAAACUUUCGCCUUUUGCCCAGCGCCAGCACCCACGCCAGGACCCAGGCAGAACCAGCAUGCAGCCGAAGGAGCAACUCGCUAUUAUUUCUACAGCCCUAAUGUCUAUAAAUUUCAUAUGCAAUUAACAUUUUGUGGACAAAUUUAAUGACGGAAAAAUUUGAUUAAUAUACAACAUAGAACUGUGGUGAUCCAAAAGUAGCGCCUGCGCAAAUGCUUCUACUGUUCAAACUCCACUUUUUAUGCAGGAGUGUAGCGCAGACGAUGGUUGCCUUGGUGGAAUUCCUGAAAUUGCCUACAUAUUUUAAUUUAAAUUUAUAUUAAUAAUUAAGAUACCAACUUACAUUAGUUACAACUGACAAGUAUAUUAAAGCAUUACUUACCGCCACAAAAACAAAUAAUGAAUAAAACACUUUCCCAUUUAUGAUACAUAUAAAGUUAUACUUUAUUUUUGAAUAGAAAUCCAUUUGAAUAUUUUAUUUCUAUUAUGCACGUUUGUAUUUAUGUAUGUAAGAAUGUUAGUAUCAAUGUAAACACACCACAAAAAUUAUUUCCAUGAAAUUUUGUUUAACCUUUUACCAAUGAAAUGUGCAGGUCCUUCCUUACUUUCAUAUAUACAAUAUUACGAGUAU